rnacentral:rRNA from 1 species
GAACAAAGGGCUGCGAGACCGCAAGGUUUAGCCAAUCCCAUAAAUCUGUUCUCAGUUCGGAUCGCAGUCUGCAACUCGACUGCGUGAAGCUGGAAUCGCUAGUAAUCGCGGAUCAGCAUGCCGCGGUGAAUACGUUCCCGGGCCUUGUACACACCGCCCGUCACACCACGAGAGUUUGUAACACCCGAAGUCGGUGAGGUAACCUUUAUGGAGCCAGCCGCCGAAGGUGGGACAGAUGAUUGGGGUGAAGUCGUAACAAGGUAGCCGUAUCGGAAGGUGCGGCUGGAUCACCUCCUUUCUAAGGA